rnacentral:lncRNA from 1 species
GGUGGGUAGGUUUUUUGGUUAUUUGAAGUGCUUUGAAUGCUGACUUUAAUUACGUUGCCUUGUAAGAGGCUCUUCUACAAGAGUUGCCGACUGCAAGGCCUCUGACUGGCUCAGGAGCCAUGCUGCUGGGUGGAGGAAGUUCCAUGGAACACAUGGAAGAGGGUGCAGAGCAAUCAGAAAAUCUGCACAAGAAGAAAAUGAAGCCAGCACUUUCAUUGAGAAGUUUGGAGCAGGCCCUUCUUUGCACCUGCCAUCUCUGUGCAGACAGGUACUAAAAUUCACAUCUAACUGUGUCAGAAAUACUGCAUUCAGCUGUCACAGGCAUAGCUGCUGAUCAGCCAGUUAGUCUGGGAUGUUCAUAGGAGAUUGGUUUCCAUUGAGUCAUUCUGAUUCCUGGACCAGUGAGAAGCCAGGCUUGCAGCUUGGCAGCCAAGUGCUUAGAAAUCUGGCUGUGAGCCCCUCUCAAAGUCUGGCCUGAAAUCUGCAAAUAUGCAACUCGGAAACCCCUGUAAGAAGCAGCCAGUCUGAUGCCAAGCAUAAGCCAAAUUCAUCACAGCUUCGUGAAAAAAUAACACCUUCUGGGAUUUUU